rnacentral:rRNA from 1 species
UACGUAGGGGGCAAGCGUUAUCCGGAUUUACUGGGUGUAAAGGGAGCGUAGGCGGCGAUGCAAGUCAGAAGUGAAAGCCCGCAGCUCAACUGCGGGACUGCUUUUGAAACUGCCAAGCUAGAGUGUCGGAGAGGUAAGUGGAAUUCCUAGUGUAGCGGUGAAAUGCGUAGAUAUCAGGAGGAACACCAGUGGCGAAGGCGACUUUCUGGACAGUAACUGACGUUGAGGCACGAAAGUGUGGGGAGCAAACAGG